rnacentral:rRNA from 2 species
AUGACCUCGGAUCAGGUAGGGA